UAGGGAAUCUUCCGCAAUGGGCGAAAGCCUGACGGAGCAACGCCGCGUGAGUGAUGAAGGUCUUCGGAUCGUAAAACUCUGUUAUUAGGGAAGAACAAAUGUGUAAGUAACUAUGCACGUCCUGACGGUACCUAAUCAGAAAGCCACGGCUAACUACGUGCCAGCAGCCGCGGUAAUACGUAGGUGGCAAGCGUUAUCCGGAAUUAUUGGGCGUAAAGCGCGCGUAGGCGGUUUUUUAAGUCUGAUGUGAAAGCCCACGGCUCAACCGUGGAGGGUCAUUGGAAACUGGAAAACUUGAGUGCAGAAGAGGAAAGUGGAAUUCCAUAUGUGGCGGUGAAAUGCGCAGAGAUAUGGGGGAACACCAGUGGCGAAGGCGACUUUCUGGUCUGUAACUGACGCUGAUGUGCGAAAGCGUGGGGAUCAAACAGG
rnacentral:rRNA from 1 species